AUGCCUCCUCUCAGAACUAGGGGUGGAAACUCCACCCGCCGCAGCAACAGCAGGAGUCCCUCCACCCGUCCCGGGAGCCCCACCGACCAGGCCGUGGCACCCGCCAACCCGGGGCAAGGGUGCGCCACACGACCCAGCGGCCGAGCCCGAGGCACUGGUCACUGUCUCCCAGAGGGGAUCGUGGGGCCGACUAACUCGCCACUGCUACUACUAACCCAAAGUGACCAGAGUAGCCGUAAACAGGAUACAGCUUGGAAAGCCAACGCGCACUUUUCCCAGCGCCGGAUGCAGCCUUCCCGACUUCCGGUGCACGCGCCAAGAGUCCUCGCAAGGCGUCUUGGGAGUUGUAGUUUAAAGAUCACCGACCGCGCACCAGGUGGUGGAAGUGAGGAGCGGGCUGGUUGUGGCGCCCCGAGGCCAAGCUGUGUCGAGGCAAGUGCGACGCGUGAGAAAACCGUAGCUGGAAAAUGACUUAGAGUCAACAGCAGGUGGCAUUGUUAGCAAAGGUUGUGCUUUUGGGAACUAAUCAGCCUGGAGAGGAGCAUCUUUCCAAUCUGAGUGAGUAGAACUGUCAGUAAAGAGUCUUUAAAUAAAGACUUACGCGUCUCCAAUUAAUUAUAAUUCAAGCAGUAUUUUAGGAAAGAAACAGUUGAAAGUUAUAAGACAAAUGUAUUUUAAAAUA
rnacentral:lncRNA from 1 species